AAAUAAAUUUGUAGUCGUGCGAAACACACAACUUUUUAUCUCACUACAGCGAGGAAAACGGAAGAUGCUUGAUACAAGAGGCGCCAGUACCGUGGAGGUUUCAAUAAGAAGUUUCUAUAUCAAGAAAACUAAAAUCCUUAGAAG